AUGAUUGUGGUGAAAUUGGUUAAACACAUUAAAUUUAGAAUUUAAGCUUUAUGGGUUCAAACCCCAUCAAUCAUA
rnacentral:tRNA from 1 species